UGGCACAUCUAUGAAAAGAAUGACAAGAGUGGAGUGAAUUUCUGUUCCAUUAAAUAUGGAUUCCUUCACACACAAGAUAAGUAUCAGAUUUGCACACAUCAUGAAAUUUUCAACAUAUUAUUAGUGACAUCACUUUUAUGGACAUAACGUUCGCAAUUAACCUGCUGCUUCACAAGGUUUGAGGAACUUGAGGAAUUCCAGAGAAAUUUGCAGGCUAAUUUUUGAACUGUUGCAAAUUGUGAAUUGACAUCACCAAGCAUAAUAUAUUAGAACAGCUUGAAAAGCUGGAAGAACACACUGGUGUAACUUUGUAGCUUCGGAAGAAGUAAUGCCAUGGCAGUCUAAAGCAUACUCUUUGGAGCUCAAGUGCAUGAUAUAUUCUAAGAUAUUACAAAGGCUAAGACUGAUAUGGUUAUACAUUAUCACAGACUAAGAGAAAAUGACACAUUGUGAAGAAUGCGGCUUGGUGACAGUGACGGCUAUAGGCAAUGUGUGCUCGUGGAUAAAUCGAUUAUGGAUUCCUGACUAUGCAGGUCGGUCCCCAGCCCGUUGCCUUGACCACCAUGGGAGAGAUAAAGCUGCGUGUUCACCUGUACAGAAAGAAGACUCUGUGUACAAGACGGGGACAUUAGUACCCCUUUGACUCCAAAAUCCUGAAUACACACAUCAAUAAAUGUGUUGUGCUACAUCUUUCCA